UACGGCUACCUUGUUACGACUUAGCCCCAGUCACUGAGUUUACCUUCGGCCGCUCCCUCCCUAAGGUUGGGUCACGGACUUCGGGUACCCUCAACUUCCAUGGCUUGACGGGCGGUGUGUACAAGGCCCGGGAACGUAUUCACCGCGUCGUAGCUGAUACGCGAUUACUAGCGAUUCCAGCUUCACGGAGUCGGGUUGCAGACUCCGAUCCGAACUGAGACCGGCUUUGUGGAUUCGCUCCCCCUCGCGGGGUGGCAGCCCAUUGUACCGGCCAUUGUAGCACGUGUGCAGCCCCAGGCGUAAGGGCCAUGAUGACUUGACGUCGUCCCCACCUUCCUCACUGCUUGCGCAGGCAGUCUCGCUAGAGUCCCCGGCAUUACCCGCUGGUAACUAGCGAUAGGGGUUGCGUUCGUUGCGGGACUUAACCCAACAUCUCACGACACGAACUGACGACAGCCAUGCAGCACCUCACUACCAGCCCGAAGGAGACCCCUUUUCGGGGGUUGUCCGGUAGUGUUCGAGCCUGGGUAAGGUUCUUCGCGUUGCAUCGAAUUAAGCCACAUGCUCCACCGCUUGUGCGGGCCCCCGUCAAUUCCUUUGAGUUUCAACCUUGCGAUCGUACUCCCCAGGUGGGAUGCUUAACGCGUUAGCUUGGACACUGCCCCUGAAACGGACCAGCAUCGAGCAUCCAUCGUUUAC
rnacentral:rRNA from 1 species